rnacentral:rRNA from 1 species
AACGAACGCUGGCGGCAUGCCUAACACAUGCAAGUCGAACGAGACCUUCGGGUCUAGUGGCGCACGGGUGCGUAACGCGUGGGAACCUGCCCUUAGGUUCGGAAUAACUCCCCGAAAGGGGUGCUAAUACCGGAUAAUGUCUUCGGACCAAAGAUUUAUCGCCUCUGGAUGGGCCCGCGUUGGAUUAGCUAGUUGGUAGGGUAAAAGCCUACCAAGGCGACGAUCCAUAGCUGGUCUGAGAGGAUGAUCAGCCACACUGGGACUGAGACACGGCCCAGACUCCUACGGGAGGCAGCAGUGGGGAAUAUUGGACAAGGGGCGAAAGCCUGAUCCAGCAAUGCCGCGUGAGUGAUGAAGGCGUUAGGGUUGUAAAGCUCUUUUACCCGGGAUGAUAAUGACAGUACCGGGAGAAUAAGCGCCGGCUAACUCCGUG